CCCAGUUGACUGUGGAACAUCCCUGCACCUCUCAGGCCAGUAAACCUCAGCGUCAUCUGCUGGCUGUGAGGCAGCUAUUUUUCAGGAUCUUCUGUGAAACCAGCUUAUGUCACUCGCCUCCAUGAGAACGCAUCGACUCACCAAAGCCGUUGAGCGUUCCGAUGUGCGUCGUCAUGAAGCCGCUGAUGCUGUGGUUGGCCAGCGAGUCGGCCAUGCUGCUGAGUGCCGAGGCGCCCGCCGCCGUGCCGAUCAGGUACUCCAGGAUCAGGUUCCAGCCGAUGAAGAAGGCCACGCACUCGCCCACCGUCACGUAGCUUUUCAGCUAAAGCGUAGGAGUUGUUUACCCAUCCAGGAAAUCCAGCCGAGGUCAGACGUGCAUCAUCCCACACGUCCACACCCACAAACCUCCGGCGUGUUCAUUUGGACGUGGCCGAGCGGCGGGGAGGCUUUUGCCGGUCAGCGUGACUCAUUGAGAAGUUUUCGUCACUUCCUCCUUGAAUAAAUGUCUUUUUUUUUUCAUGCCCCAAGAAGUCAUUGCGAGAAAAUGGAUUUGUAAAAAUGUUUUGGGAAAUUUGACAAAAUGAGAUUGAGUUGAAAUUGCCAAACAACGGCGGUUAACGACGGGAUGGCCAAAAGUCUGUAAAAUCUGUCUGAGUGCCAAUUAGCCCUCUCGUAGACAGGAAAAAGACGCCCCCGAGGUCAGAAGAAUGGACUCUGGAAAGGGGGUGGGGGUCAAAGUUCACAUUCGAAACAGAUGAUUUUAAUUUUGUGAAUCUCAACAAACAUGUUUUAUCGAGUAAUUGUUUGCAUUAUUGUGUAGUUUUUCUGUUAAUCGAGUACCAUUUGUGUUAGUAUUGAGUAGCUUGUGUUAUUGAGUAUUUUUUGUCUUAAGUGGUUUUGCGUUAUUACCAAGUAGUUUUUGCAUUAGUAUCAAUUAGUUUGUUUUAUCGAGUAAUUGUUUGCAUUAUUAUUGAGUAGUUUUUCUGUUAUCGAGUAGCAUUUGUGUUAGUAUCGAGUAGCUUGUGUUAUUGAGUAAUUUUGUUUUAAGUAGUUUUGUGCUAUCAAGUAGAUUUUGCAUUAUCAGUUUGUGUUAUCGAGUAAUUGUUUGCAUAAUUGAGUAGUUUUUCUGUUAAAGAGUAGCAUUUGCGUUAGUAUCGAGUAUCUUGUGUUAUUGAAUAAUUGUUUUAAUUGAGUAGUUUUUGCGUUACUAGGAGUAAUUUUUUUUGCAUUAUUGAGCAGUGUUUCUGUUAUCGAGUAGUAUUUGUGUUAGUAUGUAGCGACAUUUGUGUUAUAUUUAUGAUCGCUUUUGCGUCAUGAUGCUGACUAACAAAGAGGCAUCAAUAAAACUCA